GCAAUCGUCCGUCUCCCACACCAAGCACUCGUCCGUCUCCUCCGUCUCCAACACAAUCCGCCGCCGCCGUCUCCCCUCAUCCCCGUCUCUCACAUCCCGUCGCUUCCGCCGUCGGCCGUCCCGAAUUCUUCGUCCGCCGUCCCUCCCCGCACUCAGGCACGCGUACACCUAUCUUCCUCGCUCGCCUGGUUCCGUGGUUCGUGUACGAUUCACAGCGGAGUAGGGGGUCAGGUUCGGCUUCCAUCCAAACCGGCCGCCGGCCAGUCCACCGAGGGGAGAGUCCAUAUUGACCACGCGAAACCCUAGACGCCACGGAGAUGGUCCAUCUCCGCCGCCUCGCCCAGUUCUUGCUCGCCUCAGUUCGCGGGGAUGGAGCAGGACGGCGCCGCCCGUCCCCUCGCACCAGGCAGGACGACGGCGCCGUGGACGGCUGGGCGCGGAACGACAGCGAGCCCCCUCCCGUACGGCGCUCAGGCGGAGUGCCCCGAGGUCGUAGAUCCUCCUCCUUGCCGGCGCUUCCGCGGCCACGUCUCCGCUGCUGCCUCCGCGUGCGCGACCCUCAACGACGACUCGGUGGGGAGGAGCCCUGCGACGACCUCGACAACGCCUGCUCCCCCGACCACAACUACUGCGCCCAAGAAAGCCACAUGGAUUGGGGAUAUGUACCUCGGUUUGGGUUUAAAGGGGCAAUCUUUGAGCAUUUGUAUAUCAACUAUCGAGGAUCUCAAGUUGACAUGGACCGCACUAUGAUCAAGUGCAUUCUGGUGCUAUGAUGAUUGUGAUAGAAGAUGUUAGCUGCAGAAGCAAUCACUAUGUCUCAGCUCCAAUAUUAAAAAUCAGUGCACCUGAAAUACGACACAAUUUUUGUCAUCUGGAACUGCGCUUAUAAGGUGUUUGGUCUGAAAGCUACGCUCCUGAAUACAAUAUGAUAUAAAAGGUUCAUGAAAUCAUCAGACCUGCUAUGUUCUAUUGUAAUUCGAGUUCAAAUGUCAAGUUGCGCCGCAACAAAAUGCUGCUACUUUAACUUCUGUAAGCGCAGCGAGCAGCGUAGGCGGCCGUUGCAGCUGCUCACAUGGAACGUAUGCCCUGUUGCAGCCUCGCAGGUACCCACAUCUCUCCCUCCCUCCCUCCUCUUGAUUUGAUCCCCAUAAAUUCUCAGCUUUAUUUCUGUGGAUUUUUGUUUUAUCUAUGCCUGUUAUGUCUUUGACAAAAUCCAAGCAGAUUGAGGGGAAGAUUUUGUGCUUAGUUUUUUACUCAAGUAUUUCAUCUUUCUCUCAAAUUUAGCUCCAAUGAACUGAAUUAUUUUGGCAUCACUUUUUUCCCUGGAGAGCAUUAUCAUCUCAUCUCACCACACUCAUGCCACAUAACCUGGCGAGCUCACUCCUUACUCAUUCUAUGUACCACAUUUGUAGAUCAGUUUAAGGUACUGCUAAUGAACCAAAAGUUAAUGUUGUUGGCCUUGCCAAAAUGCCAUGAAGCUUAACAUUCGACACUUCCUUCAAUAGGGCCCUUCAGCCUCCAAGGAGAAGGGAAGUGAUGUCUGACAGGGAAAGAAACUAGGCAAAGCUCUGGAUGCUCGAUUGAGUACACACCCAAUUAGCACUCUACUUCGUCGGUUGUCCACUGAAAUUUGCUCCAUGACAUCUUGCUUGCCAUGUGGUCACCUUACCUCAAAAUUGACAUAUUAUAAUCUAUGAACUACUACAAGUAAACUAUACAACCAAAUGAUUGUUCCAAAAAUUCAAAUUUGCACCAUGCUUUCCACCUGAUCUGCCAGUUUAACUAUCUUAAUUGUACCGCAGACAUUUGAUGUGUGGUAGUAAGUGUGUGAUGAAGCAUGGUGUAGUAGCAAACUAGCAACUGAAUUUUUUGACAUACCAUGGAUUUCUUUCUGCCUCUAUUUGAUGCUCGGGGGUGCUGAUCCGAAGGUCCGUGCGGACCCUGCUCUGGACAUACGUCUCCUUAAUUUCCGUGUGCAAUUCUGCAAUCCAUGCUUUACACUUUAAAAUGAGACAAUAAAAUUUAGCUCAUGUUGCCCUUCCAUCAUGCACCCAGAAUAUAUUACCUUUCUGCUUUUUAUAUUUUGGUUGGGCAUGUUUCAUGAUCAGAGGAUCGAUGAUUUGUUAUGCUAGACAAUGGAAAUAAGAUUUGGUGGAAAACAAAUGAUAUGAUAGGUGAUUUAUGAUGUAUUACUAUUUUAGAUAACAUUAUCCAAAAUUAGUUUUUGGUAUACGCAAACUUUGGAAUUUGUUGAUAAAGAAAGAUCACGCCUAAUUUGCUGGCUCUCUGUUGACACUUAACAGUACUGGCCUCCUGACUCUAGUUGGAUAAUGUUGAUGACUCGAUAUGCGGAGAGAGGUUAGGAAUUGUUGCUAUGGACUAAAACAAUGCAGAGUUGAAGGUUCUGAACUGGGAACUUGAACAAACAGUUUGCCUACCUUUCUUGUGGAAUUGAUUUUUUAAAAGUGAAUGUUCUUCUGGUUGGUGCUUCUUCAGUGGGAUCUGGACCAUGGAAUCUUCAAUUGCAUCUGCUUGGUUCACUGGGAAUUUCCUAGUUUUAAUUUGAUUGACAACUAGCAAAACAGUCCGGCUAAUUUGAUGAUUAAUUCCUGCUGAUUGUACACUUUCAACUCAAGUUCCUGCUGAUUCUACACUUUUCAACCCAAGUUACAUUGUACCAUAUGCCAGUUUGUUUCAUACCUCAUCCAUCCUGGAUUUUUAGACGCAAAGCAUCUGGAUUUUAAAACAAGAAAUAACAUGUCUUUAACAAAAUUAUUCACUCAAAGACCAUGCCCAAGAUUGGAUCUCUCAUCUUUACAGUAAAUUUGGACAGCAGGGAUCUCUCAUCUUUACAGUAAAUUUGGAUAGCAGGGAUGUUCAGUAGAAAAGUAUAAUAGCAUGGAAGCGUUGUUUCUGAACUCGAGCACAUAUGUGCUCUUUAUCUGGGCGGUUCGUCAUAGCAUUGGGAUGCGGUGCAUUACUUUCUGUGUCAGGCUGUUGUUCACUGGAAAAGGGGGAAAUGCAGAAGGAGCACCUCCUUUAACGAUUCAAAACAGGGCCGUGGCUCAUGCCGUCAUUCCCGUCCUGAUCCGUGGCUCGUCUAGGGCCUCAGUAGCUGAGUAAAUGGAGGGAUGGGUUGCUGGGCAGAGUUCUCUCCUACCUCCGGCUCCUGGUUUUUCCUAUUAUCGAGUGAGGCUAGAUGGGCGGCGGAGCUUCUAUUCGAAGGAAACAAAGGCUAGCGCAGAAGAUGGAAUUUCUGAUGCAAUCGAUUAAAAGAACCACCGUGCUGGAGGACGUUAACGAUGGCAACGUACUCAUGGAGCCACUACACUGCCAGUGGUCGCAACCGUUGCAGAUCCGCUGCCGCCCAUGGCGGCAAUGAGUGCGGAAGGCCAGAUCUGUGCGGCUGAUGGCGUGGUCGAUACUGAAAUCGAUGGUUUACUGCAAGCAUCCGAGCAGUCGAUUACUCGAUUUGUUAGAUCGACCCAAAAGCCCCAGCAUGGACUCGAAGUGAGGAUCGGUGCUGCCGCACCAGGAAGGUCACCUUGUCGUAAUCGCACUAGUGCACUGGAGAAGGCAAUUCAUGGUUUUGCGGAAAAUCCAGGAGAUGAUGUGAUUGUCCCUGCACUAGGAACAAGCUUUGAUUGUUUGAGUGAAGCCUUCGACUAUUGCCAUUGGACUUCGAUUCUUUUGGAUGAAGCAUACGACUUUUACAAGCUUCGAUUCUUUGACUAAUCUAUAUUUUAGUAAUCCUCCUUAUUUUCUGAAACUGAUGUAUAGUGGUAUGAUGUACAUUUAAAUGGAUUUCUAAAGUGACAGUAAAUUAGACAACUAUUUUACGAUGUGUAGCCAAAAGCCAAAAGGAUAAUUGCACUAUUAUCAGAAUCAAAUAUGAUUUCAAGUCUGGAGAAAAUCUGCCUUUUCUUCUUCCUUUGUGACUUCCAAU